UCUGGUUUUCAUGUCCAACGUUUAACCGUCCGUCUUAUUUAAAAAAUUAUAAAAAAAUUAAAAAAAAAUCACGCAUAAAGUAUUAAUCAUGUUUUAUCAUCUAACAACAAUAAAAAUAUUAAUUAUAAAAGAUUUUAUAUAAGACAGACGGUCAAACGUUGAACACGGAAAUAUAUGGUUUGUUUUUUU
rfam:Oryza rufipogon genomic scaffold, chr01